rnacentral:rRNA from 1 species
UAGUAACGGCGAGUGAAGCGGGAUGAGCUCAAGCUUAAAAUCUCUGUCACAAAUUUAUUUUGUGCGGCGAAUUGUAGUCUAUAGAAGCGUGGUCAGUGUAGGCGCUUGGGUUAAGUUCCUUGAAAAAGGACAGCAUCGAGGGUGAUACUCCCGUUUGUACCUGAGUGUCUUAUGCGUACGACCCGUUUUCUUUGAGUCGCGUUGUUUGAGAAUGCAGCGCAAAGUAGGUGGUAAAUUCCAUCUAAAGCUAAAUAUUGGUGCGAGACCGAUAGCGAACAAGUACCGUGAGGGAAAGAUGAAAAGAACUUUGAAAAGAGAGUUAAAGAGUACCUGAAACUGCUGAAAGGGAACCGGAUCGUUUCUAGUGUCUAUAAUCCGUGACAUAUUUCAUUGGCGGGCGUGUGCGUAUGUGUACUAUGGCAGCGGCUAAUUGGCUGCGCUUGGUGUGCGUGCUGUGUGUGCUUACUGGUGCCCUGUGUUAUGGUGGGACGUCAAGGUCAGUUCGUAUGCUGCGGGAAAUGGCUACUGAGGAGGUAGGGCUUACGCUUGCGUUUGUCUGUUAUAUCUUGGUGGUUUUGUCGUGGUUGGGACUGAGGUGUUCUACAACGUGCUCUUGAGUGGGUCUGCGUCUCCGUGUGCACCGUGUGCAGAUAGCUUGCUAUGUGUGUGUGGUUGUGUGUAGAUUGAUGCGGGCUUGAACUUGUUGCCGUUC